AACUGACGAAUCCCAAAUAGGACGAAAUGCGCAUCCU
rnacentral:hammerhead_ribozyme from 1 species